rnacentral:rRNA from 1 species
ACGGGUGCGUAACACGUGGGUAACAUGCCGGGAAGAGGAGAAUAGCCCAGGGAAACUUGGAUUAAUGCUCCAUGUGGUCGCAAGACUAAAGACGGGGUAACCUGUCGCUUCCUGAUUGGCCCGCGGCCUAUCAGCUAGUUGGCGAGGUAACGGCUCACCAAGGCAACGACGGGUAGCUGGUCUGAGAGGAUGACCAGCCACACUGGAACUGAGACACGGUCCAGACACCUACGGGUGGCAGCGGUCGAGAAUCUUUCACAAUGGGGGCAACCCUGAUGGAGCGACGCCGCGUGGAGGAUAAGGUCUUCGGAUUGUAAACUCCUGUCAUGCGAGAGUAAGGCCCCGCGUUAACUGCGUGUGGGAUUGACAGUACCGCAAGAGGAAGAGACGGCUAACUCUGUGCCAGCAGCCGCGGUAAUACAGAGGUCUCAAGCGUUGUUCGGAAUUACUGGGCGUAAAGGGUGCGUAGGCUGCGCAGAAAGUCAGAUGUGAAAUCCAGGAGCUCAACUUCUGAAUUGCAUCCGAUACUCCUGUGCUAGAGGACUGGAGAGGAGCUUGGAAUUCUCGGUGUAGCAGUGAAAUG